CAGCUGGCCAAGUCAACCGGGUCACAAGCCAUCCGGCUGUCACUGAAACUAGAUGCCUGACUGAAUACUCUGGAACUCUGGACUCUGGAGUCCGGAAGUUGGCCAAUAGCCAUGGUUAUUGCCUUAUUGGUUCUCCGUCGUCACACCUUCAUCAGAGGAUCCCUUGACUUGUGAAUGUGUACAUUUUUUCUCGAUUUUCAAGUUUCAGGUAACCACCAUGAGCCAGUUGUGCGUUGGAAUACCAGGAAUUUAGCAAGUGCCAUGCUGGAUCUCUGGUUCUGUCAACAAACAAGUUUGUUAGUGUAUAUAGUCGCCGCUUGAAAUUGUAAAGAAAACUACUGAUGUAAUGUAAGCCAGGCCUCAGCCUAUGAUGGUUGUGAGUUAGGGGCCAAAUGUAAUGAUGUGAAUGUGUAAUUGAGUGACAGACUAAAUUGCACCCAAAUUUCAUAGUUUGAGCAAAAGUGCUGCAAAAAAAUAAUUAAAGUUAAAAAGGUACAAUCGAACAAGCCAUCAGCAAUUCCAAUAUCUUAAAGCUUCGACUAGUUCUCUCCAUUCUUCAGUCUUGCGCUCUUCUGAUCUGGUCCACGUCUCCAUCUAUGCCUUUUCACCUCCAUUGUCUUGACUUUCUUAAUGGGUUUCAUCUUAAUAUUAUAUGACCUAUUACACUUUUGACUUAGUUUUUCAGUAGUACAUACACCACAAUUUUUAUCCAGCCUCUGCAUACUGCAUACAGCUGCAACUUCAUUUAUUAUAAUGUUCCCUUAGUCCCGCAGCUUCAGUCAUACCACUCUGUCCUGGCUGGUUUUUUUUUUUUUCUCUGUCCUCUUGAAUCCUACUUCACAUUCUAGAAUAGCCUUAAGGUAACGGUAACACAUGAUCUGCUUCUUCUAAGACCUCUCUUUCAAUGACAAGGUUCUCCUGCCUUUCAUUUUAAUUCAUACACAUUUUGAGAUUCAAAAAACCUUUUCACUGUUUUACAACUCUGAUGAUCUCUCCGGCCACCGUGUUAAAAUUGAUGUUUGCUGUAGAGGUAAUUCCAUAUUCUCCACAGCCAUUGUCCUGCCUGUACGUUUUCAUUUGCUUCCUCACUAGUCGCCAUACAUUUUAUUUUGCCUACAUUGAUUUUCAGUUCUCGUCUGUUUCAUUGGUUAACUGCCAUCUUAUACACACAAACCAUUUACUUUGGCUGUACAGGUGAUAGAUCAUCUAUCUACACAUAGCAGCUUCUAAGUGCCUUUUUACAUUUUUUUGAAGUUUACUUUAUUGUGAUGGUAAAGGAAAGCUGAAUUUUUAUAGGAUAAAAAAAUUCUUACAGGUCACUUGCCUUUACUCUACAGCUUGUGUUAUAAUAAUAGACAUUUCAGCCCUUUAUUGGUUAAAAAGCCUGUAUGUAUUAACAAGAACAAAAUAGUUUUUUGUUUAUAAAGGCUACAUAGCAUCUAAAGGCCUGUCCACACGAGCGGGCCUGAUCGGCAUGCUCCGGGGUUGACGGGCAAAUUCUGGCGGGCUUUCACGUGAAUGUUGUCCACACAGGUUAGGCGAGGAGAGGUGGGCGUGCCCGACGAUACCAGUAGUGUGUUCAGUGCGGUAUGAUUACCAUGGUGGCUACCGCAAAGAGGAAGAUAUUGUGUAGCAUGAUAAUUGCUUUGUGUCUAAUGAAAAAAAAAAGAAGAGAAUAUGGUGCAAAGAAUGGCUCACUAAAAGACAUGUAUAUGGCAGCCACACAACCAUACUACAGGAACUACAAGAUGGCCACGAAAAAGAUUUCAGAGACUAUUUGAGAAUGAGCAUAAGCACGUUUUAUACUUUACUAGUAAAGCUGGAGUCAUACAUUAUGAAAAAAGACACACACACGAGACUGAGUAUAACAACAGGAGGUCGUUUGGAGGCAACGCUAAGAUUUUUGGCAACAGGAUGUACAUAUUCAGCACUGCAGUAUUCUACACGUAUAUCCAAACAAAGCUUGUCACACACAAUCCCAGAAACAUGUCGGGCCAUAUAUGAGGUACUAAAGGAUGACUACUUGCAGACACCUACCACACCAGACGAGUGGAUGCGUGUGGCACGUGGGUUCGAAACACGGUGGAACUUCCCCAACUGUAUUGGAGCCAUUGAUGGAAAGCAUAUCCUAAUAACGCCUCCACAGGGCAGGGGCUCAUAUUACUAUAAUUAUAAAGGUACCCACAGCAUCAUACUCAUGGCCAUAACUGAUGCCAAUUGCGAGUUUCUUUAUGUUGAUAUUGGCUGCAAUGGGCCGGUGUCAGACGGCGGUGUGUGGGACAAUACACAUAUCAGUAGUUGUAUUGCCACAGAAACAGCAGGUCUCCCUAGUGACAGAAAGCCCAAAGGAAGUGAGAGGAGGCUACUGUAUGUGUUUGUGGCUGACAACACCUUCCCCUUGCAACGGCACAUUAUGAAACCGUUCUCACACCGCACCCAAAGUAAUAGGGAAUGCAUUUUUUCCUAUCGGUUAUAUAGGGCUCGACGUACAGUUGAGAAUGCUUUUGGGAUAUUGGCCAACCGAUUUAGAGUUUUCCUGACAACUAUAUACUUGUCGCCAAGCAAAGUUGAAAUGAUGGUAUUAGCAUGCAUUGCUUUGCAUAAUUUUCUCAGACGUGAGCAUGUCACACAAUAUAUGCCUGAAGGGUUUGGAUUCUGAAGACAUUGCAAGGUGUACAAUUAUCCCUGGUGGUUGGCGUGAAACUCCCCACGUGUUACGAUUGCAAAGAACAGGAGGCAAUACAAGUACAGCCGGCCAAACUGUACGCCAUAUAUUUAUGGAGUAUUUCAAUGAUGAAGGUGCUGUGCCAUGGCAAUACAAAGCUAUACAAAUCCAAUAAUUAGAUACCAUUCCAUAUUCCUGGAAUGUAUUACUUAUCAGUGUCUCAGUACAUUUGGUGCAUAAUGUAGGUUUCAUGUAUCACUUUUCCUUAUUAUCAGUGUCUCAGUACAGGAUGAUAGGUACUGUGUUAUAAACUGUAUAUGCAGAGGUUUUGAUUAUUAACGGUUUAAUUUUUUUUAUUUCAUUUACGUUGUCAUUUAUAUAAUAUUUUGUAUCAUAUUACAUGUAUUGUGUUUUGUAAUAAACACAAUAACAAAUAUGUAUUACACAAUACAAUGUUUUGAGUUAUUUUCCUAGUAACUAAACUCUACACACUUU